rnacentral:tRNA from 1 species
GCAGGGGUAGCAAAGCUUGGCCAAAUGCGCUGGCUUGAGGUGUCAGUCUCUUAGGAGUUCGUGGGUUCAAAUCCCUCCCCCUGCA